CAAAACCCAGGGAGGGGUGAGUUUGUUCCAGUGAGUGUGAGAACUUACCUGUGUCUCUGGAUGUGUGUGUGUGUGUGUGUGUGCGUGCGCGCGUGUGCAUUGCACACAUGCUCAGUUCACAUGCAUGCAUUCCCGGGUGCGCACCAGUGGGCCUGACCCCUGAGCUGGGUGACAGCAGCCUGGCCCACGCUCUUGUGUGUGUCAGGUGUGCCUGGGAAUGUGCCCCGGUGUAUCUGAGUUAGUGUCCAUGGGUGCCUCUUAGGAGCUGUACCUUGUUGGGGCCCCGGCGGCCCUUCCUGCUCUGCAGCUUGAGUCCCCAGUGCAGCCACAAGGCGGUGGCGAUCUCUCCGCGGCGCAGGCCCGUUUCCCUGAGACAGAUGAGCUGCCCCCACGCCCUGGCCCUCGGAAGAGCGAGCGUGAAACGGCUGCCGCUCCGCCCCUCCGGCUAAUGGCCCAUCCUCUCCGGCCAUUGCCUCCGGAGAGCCCGUUAAGUACCCCCGGGUCGGUGAGCGGGUCCCCCUUCCCCCCUUCCCGCUGUGGGGGCGCGGCGGGGGGCGGCGCGCUGGCGGGGGAAGGGGCGCCCCGCUCUCCCCGGGCUCCCCUUCCCCGCUUCCCCCACCCCGGCGCCGGCCCCGCUGCGUGCUCGCGCAGACACCCACUCUCGCCGGCGCCAGCGCUUGCAGACGCACGGUGACACAGACCCCCGGCGCGCAGAAGCACGGGCACACUCGCAGACUCAACGCUGGGACGCGGGGACUCUCAGACACGCGUUCCUAUAGACAGAUGCCCACACGGACUCACAGCACGAGGCAGUGUGUGUUCCAGCAAGAGGGUUGUCCUCCUGGGGUGUGUCGGCGAGGAGUGUGGCUGUGCCUGCCAGCAAGACAAGGAAGGCGGAAAACGAAGAGGGGCUGCGACAUAAGGAGAGGAGGCACCGCGGAGAAGUGGAUCCAGACUCAGUUUCUCUGCAGUGAUCACCCACUCACCAGUGCGACUGUCCUGAUUACACAGGUGGCCUCUUUCACAGCAAGGAUCUCAGCAGAUAAGAACUCCUCUCUCCCUAGGUGGGAGGGAGGGGGCACCGGGAAGGCCUCAAGGUCAGGGCCCCACUCCGAGUCUUCUCCAUGCCUUCAGAACGCAGAACAGCUGCAGCCCUGAAUGAGUCUGAAAGGGGGCCAUAUUCAUGCAGAUGACACCUCCCUGGGUCUGGCACUGUGUGGGGCGCUUCAUCUUUGUCAUCUCAUGGGGACUCACCUCAGCUCUGCUAGGUUGUUUCCAUUUUACAGAAGAGAAAACCAAGGCCUGGACAGCAUGCAUGACCUGUCCCAGGUCACACAGCCAGUGAGGGACAGAGGCAGAAGUCCUUUCUAGUCCAUCACGUGGGAAACGGUGAAACAGUGUUUUAUUGGACAUUGAUCAAGGACCACAAACUGGAAGCUCUGGGAGGGCAGGGUCUUUACUUGCCCUUUCGCCAUUCCUUCCCUUGACAAGCACAAAUCACAUGCCUGGCAUGGUGCUUUGUGCCAGGGUUACAAACAUGAACGGAUGGACAAGGUCUCUGCCUUUACAGAAUUCCUAGUCCAGUGAGGGAAACCGAUGACUUGUGUGUAAAUAGAUAACAUAUUUUCAGGUAAUGAUGCUGUGAAGGAAGUGCAAAGCCACGGGAUGGAACGAUCGGGGAUGGGUGGGUAGGGCUGCUUUAGAAGCGUAAUCAGGGGAGGCCUCCUAGAGGAGGUGAUGUUGGUACUGAGACCUUCCUGGCAAGUGGAGUCAGCCACGGCAAGUACUAGUGGAAGAAGGAUUUGGACUUUGUCAAAGUCCCCCACUGUGUUGGGAUGGGGCGAAGGUGGGGGGUAGGAGAGAUGGUUCUGGAAAGGUUGGUAAGUGCCGGGUCAUGCAGGGCUUGGAAGGUCAUGGUGCUAAGUGCAGUAGGAAACCAUGGGAGGGUUUAAGAAGAGGUGCUCUGAUUUACAAGUUAGAGAGAUGACUCAGUGGGCUCCGGGAGAAUGGAGUGGAGGAGGGUGAGGUCGAUGUGGGAGCAUGGAGGUCAAAUAAGGGAGGUCCAGGCACCGGAUGAUGGUGGCUUGGAUUCUGGUGUUGGCAGUGGGGAUGUCAGGAGGGAAUCGAUUUGGGAUGUUUUGGAAGGUAGAAGCAACGGAACUUGCUGAUGGCCUGGAUCCCAGCGCCUAGAACAUAGUAAACACUCAAUAAAGAUUCAUUGAAUGGGUGAGCAAAGGCACCUUCUCGGUGCCAGGCUCUUGUGCGCAUCCUCCAGUGUAA